GAUGAAGAACGUAGCGAAAUGCGAUAAGUAGUGUGAAUUGCAGAAUUCAGUGAAUCAUCGAAUCUUUGAACGCACAUUGCGCCCCUUGGUAUUCCGAGGGGCAUGCCCGUUCGAGCGUCAUUAUACCCCUCAAGCCUAGCUUGGUGUUGGGGCCUGCUGUUACCGGCAGCCCUUAAAAUCAGUGGCGGUGCCAUCUGGCUCUAAGCGUAGUAAUACUUCUCGCUACAGGGUCCCGGUGGAUGCUUGCCAUCAACCCCUAAUUUUCUAUGGUUGACCUCGGAUCGGGUAGGGAUACCCGCUGAACUUAAGCAUAUCAAUAAGCGGAGGA
rnacentral:misc_RNA from 1 species